ensembl:snRNA U6 U6 spliceosomal RNA
GUGUUUGCUUUGGCAGCUCAUAUACUAAAAUUGGAAGGAUACAGAGAAGAUCAGCAUGGUCCGAGUGCAAGAUAGCACACAAAUUCAUGAAGUGUUUCAUAUUUUU